rnacentral:rRNA from 1 species
AGUAACGGCGAGUGAAGCGGCAACAGCUCAAAUUUGAAAUCUGGCGUAAGCCCGAGUUGUAAUUUGUAGAGGAUGCUUCUGGGUAGCGGCCGGUCUAAGUUCCUUGGAACAGGACGUCAUAGAGGGUGAGAAUCCCGUAUGUGACUGGCUUGCACCCUCCACGUAGCUCCUUCGACGAGUCGAGUUGUUUGGGAAUGCAGCUCUAAAUGGGAGGUAAAUUUCUUCUAAAGCUAAAUACCGGCCAGAGACCGAUAGCGCACAAGUAGAGUGAUCGAAAGAUGAAAAGCACUUUGGAAAGAGAGUUAAAAAGCACGUGAAAUUGUUGAAAGGGAAGCGCCCGCAACCAGACUUUGCGGCGGUGUUCGGCUGGUCUUCUGACCGGUUUACUCGCCGCCGUGAGGCCAUCAUCGUCUGGGACCGCUGGAUAAGACCUGAGGAAUGUAGCUCCCUUCGGGGUGUGUUAUAGCCUCUGGUGAUGCAGCGCGUCUCGGGCGAGGUCCGCGCUUCGGCAAGGAUGAUGGCGUAAUGGUUGUCGGCGGCCCGUCUUGAAACACGGACCAAGGAGUCUAACAUCUAUGCGAGUGUUCGGGUGUCAAACCCCUACGCGUAAUGAAAGUGAACGGAGGUGGGAACUUUUUGUGCACCAUCGACCGAUCCUGAUGUCCUCGGAUGGAUUUGAGUAAGAGCAUAGCUGUUGGGACCCGAAAGAUGGUGAACUAUGCCUGAAUAGGGUGAAGCCAGAGGAAACUCUGGUGGAGGCUCGCAGCGGUUCUGACGUGCAAAUCGAUCGUCAAAUUUGGGUAUA